rnacentral:rRNA from 1 species
GGCCGCGGGAAUUCGAUUCAGGCCUAACACAUGCAAGUCGAACGGCAGCACGGGGGCAACCCUGGUGGCGAGUGGCGAACGGGUGAGUAAUGCAUCGGAACGUACCCGGAGGUGGGGGAUAACGUAGCGAAAGUUACGCUAAUACCGCAUAUUCUGUGAGCAGGAAAGCAGGGGACCGCAAGGCCUUGCGCUUUCGGAGCGGCCGAUGUCGGAUUAGCUAGUUGGUGAGGUAAAGGCUUACCAAGGCGACGAUCCGUAGCUGGUCUUAGAGGAUGAUCAGCCACACUGGGACUGAGACACGGCCCAGACUCCUACGGGAGGCAGCAGCGGGGAAUUUUGGACAAUGGGGGAAACCCUGAUCCAUCAAGGCCGCGUGAGUGAAGAAGGCCUUCGGG